CUCUUCCCGGGGCCAAGUCUCUCUGGCCUCUGAGGUGAACCCAGCUCCCCAGCGUGCCCCCGGACCUUGGGCUGGUCCGGCUUCCAGCGGUGGGGAGCGGGAUCCCGGGCCCCGGGCGGGCGGGAGGGACGGGACGCGGUGCAGUGUUGUUCUUUCCCCCGCCAAUAUUGCACUCGUCCCGGCCUCCGGCCCCCCCGGCCCCCCGGCCUCCCCCUCACCCCGAGCGGGGCAGCCCCAGCCCUCCUGGCUCUCGAUCACGGCUGAUCUAAGAUAGACUGGAGUGUCGUUGCUGCCACCGUGGGCAAAGUUGUGGACAAAGUGAAGAACUGAGGCCUCAGCGGUGCUGCCAAGAGCUGUGACGUCUGGGACUUGCUGUGAGCUUCUAUAAAUGACGGUCCCUUCCAGAAACGGCCGCUGUCCUGGUAGCUGAAGAGGAAGCCUGCAUAGUCGUCAUCUGUCACUGUGUUCACGUGAAAGGAGAACAGGCACCACAUGAAGGCCCGAAAGGCACCACGUUCUUUGUCUCUGCUUAGGAGCCUCUGCGGCCGAGCCCCCAUUCACCUGACCCCUUGCGGUCAGCCAGGUCCGUAGAAGCCCCAAGCUUUCUCUUCCAUCAGAGGACAGCUGUUCAGGAAAUCUGCCUGGACCCUGUCCCACUGCCUUGUCCGCGCCCUCCCUCAUUCCCACUGACUUCUGCGGCAGGUAAUCUCUCACCCAGGCCGACCUCCCCAGUUCUCAGACUUCCUAGCCUCCCGGCUUCAU